rnacentral:tRNA from 1 species
GCCGGUAUGUUGGAAUUGGCAGACGAGGCGGACUCAAAAUCCGUUGCCGCAAGGCGUGCGGGUUCGACCCCCGCUACCGGCA